GGCGUUCGACAAUUUUUUUUUUUAAUUUUUUAAAAUUACUUUGGCAAGUGACAACUUCAUAUUUUAUUAUUUUAAAACGUAUUUUGCCCAGCGCCACCUUCAGGCACUCGAUAAAUUUUUUUUAUUUUUUUAAAACUUAUUUUGCCGAGUGCCACCUCUAGGCACUCAGCAAAAAAAAUUUCUUUAAAAUGUAUUUUGUCGAGUGCCAUAUAUAUUUGCCAAGUAGU
rnacentral:lncRNA from 1 species